rnacentral:sRNA from 1 species
GCUGGGCAUGGUGGCACAUGCUUGUAAUCCCAGCUACUAGGGAGGCUGAGGCAGGAGGAUCACUUGAGCCUAGGAGGCUGAGGUUGCAGUGAGCCAUGAUCGAGCCACUGCACUCCAGCCUGGGCAACAAAGCAAGACUCUGUCUCAG